CACGUAGGGGGCGAGCGUUGUCCGGAUUUAUUGGGCGUAAAGGGCUCGUAGGCGGCUCAGUAAGUCGGGUGUGAAACCUCCAGGCUCAACCUGGAGACGCCACUCGAUACUGCUGUGGCUAGAGUCCGGUAGGGGAGCAUGGAAUUCCUGGUGUAGCGGUGAAAUGCGCAGAUAUCAGGAGGAACACCAGCGGCGAAGGCGGCGCUCUGGGCCGGAACUGACGCUGAGGAGCGAAAGCGUGGGUAGCAAACAGG
rnacentral:rRNA from 1 species